rnacentral:rRNA from 1 species
UACGGAGGAGGCAAGCGUUAUCCGGAAUUAUUGGGCGUAAAGCGUCCGUAGGUGGUUUAGUAAGUCUGCUGUUAAAGCGCGGGGCUUAACUCCGUAUCGGCAGUGGAAACUACUAGACUAGAGUGUGGUAGGGGUAGAGGGAAUUCCCAGUGUAGCGGUGAAAUGCGUAGAUACCUGGAGGAACACCGGUGGCGAAGGCGGCAUCCUGGACCGACACUGACGCUGAGGAGCGAAAGCCAGGGGAGCAAACGGG